AUUGAACGCUGGCGGCAGGCCUAACCCAUGCAAGUCGAACGAGUGGCGGACGGGUGAGUAAUGUCUGGGAAACUGCCCGAUGGAGGGGGAUAACUACUGGAAACGGUAGCUAAUACCGCAUACAAUCGGAUGUGCCCCGAUGGGAUUAGCUAGUAGGUGGGGUAACGGCUCACCUAGGAGAAGAUCCCUAGCUGGUCUGAGAGGAUGACACGCCACACUGGAACGGAUACACGGUCCAGACUCCUACUGGAGGCAGCAGUGGGUAAUAUUGCACAAUGGGCGCAAGCCUGAUGCAGCCAUGCCGCGUGUAUGAAGAAGGCCUUCUGGUUGUAAAGUACUUUCAGCGAGGAGGCGUUACUCGCAGAAGAAGCACCGGCUAACUCCGUGCCAGCAGCCGCGGUAAUUC
rnacentral:rRNA from 1 species